UGGAGACCAGGAUGAUCCAUGUGUUGAACCUUGUGAGCUUUCUAGCUGUUCUCAGCCGAUAAAGCCUUGCAAAGCUGGAGUAACAACAGACCAAUGUGAUUGUUGUCAGGUCUGUGCCAAGGCUGAUGGAGAAAAAUGUGGCGGCAAGAAAUUGACGAAGUGUGGCGAAGGUCUGUACUGUGACACAACUGACAACCCAAAUGGCAUUGGAAUCUGCAAAAAAAUAUCUCGUCCACCAGUGUACAAGGCGGAAUACUUAAAUGCAAAGCAAAGAUGAUUUCAAAUAUGUUUUUUCCCACUAACUACUAUGAUGGUUCAAUACUGAUAAUACUUUGGUUAAGCUUGUUGUAGUAAUUUGAAUAAUAAUAAUGAUACAAUCAGUAUUUCUAUGUAGUUUUCAGGACCUUGAUGAUCAUAAUAAAAGCAUCCACUUUUUGACUAUUA